rnacentral:rRNA from 1 species
GACGAACGCUGGCGGCGUGCCUAAUACAUGCAAGUUGAGCGAUGAAGAUUGGUGCUUGCACCAAUUUGAAGAGCAGCGAACGGGUGAGUAACGCGUGGGGAAUCUGCCUUUGAGCGGGGGACAACAUUUGGAAACGAAUGCUAAUACCGCAUAACAACUUUAAACAUAAGUUUUAAGUUUGAAAGAUGCAAUUGCAUCACUCAAAGAUGAUCCCGCGUUGUAUUAGCUAGUUGGUGAGGUAAAGGCUCACCAAGGCGAUGAUACAUAGCCGACCUGAGAGGGUGAUCGGCCACAUUGGGACUGAGACACGGCCCAAACUCCUACGGGAGGCAGCAGUAGGGAAUCUUCGGCAAUAGACGAAAGUCUGACCGAGCAACGCCGCGUGAGUGAAGAAGGUUUUCGGAUCGUAAAACUCUGUUGGUAGAGAAGAACGUUGGUGAGAGUGGAAAGCUCAUCAAGUGACGGUAACUACACAGAAAGGGACGGCUAACUACGUG